AAUCUACCGUACUACAUGAAACCAUAGAAAGCUUAAAUACUACUAAAAGAGAUUAUUUACUAGGAACAAGUGAAUAAUUUUUUUAGGAAGACUCUGAAUUUUCCUUAAGUUGGGGAAUGAAUUUUAAAAUAGAAAGAUUCCCCAAAGUGAGAAGAAAAUCCCUCGAAUUGGGGAACGACCUUUAUGAGAGAAAAUUCUCCUAAGUGGAAGAAAACCCCAUGGGUCUUGGAAAAGUCCCCUUAUAUAAUCAGAUAAUUACUGUAAUAUUUUAAAAGUUUGCAGGGAUAAGAACCUUCUCUCACCCUUAAGGCUAA
rnacentral:lncRNA from 1 species